rnacentral:ncRNA from 2 species
UAGUCCCGCCCCGUCAUCGAUGCCUUCCCGCCAUGGGGCGGGAGGGCUUCCAGGGAACCCGGUGCGAGUCCGGGACUGCCCCGCAGCGGUGAGCAGGAACGGCGUUCACACGAACGCCGUCCCCGCGAGUCCGAAGACCUGGCGACGACCCGGCGUCCUC